rnacentral:rRNA from 1 species
UGGGGAAUAUUGCACAAUGGGCGCAAGCCUGAUGCAGCCAUGCCGCGUGUGUGAAGAAGGCCUUCGGGUUGUAAAGCACUUUCAGCGAGGAGGAAGGUGGUGGACUUAAUACGUUCAUCAAUUGACGUUACUCGCAGAAGAAGCACCGGCUAACUCCGUGCCAGCAGCCGCGGUAAUACGGAGGGUGCAAGCGUUAAUCGGAAUUACUGGGCGUAAAGCGCACGCAGGCGGUUUGUUAAGUCAGAUGUGAAAUCCCCGGGCUCAACCUGGGAACUGCAUUUGAAACUGGCAAGCUAGAGUCUCGUAGAGGGGGGUAGAAUUCCAGGUGUAGCGGUGAAAUGCGUAGAGAUCUGGAGGAAUACCGGUGGCGAAGGCGGCCCCCUGGACGAAGACUGACGCUCAGGUGCGAAAGCGUGGGGCAGCAAACAGGAUUAGAUACCCUGGUAGUCCACGCUGUAAACGAUGUCGAUUUGGAGGUCCUG